AACAAACAAAGAAUUGAGCAACAGAAAUGCCAGCUCUGUCAGAUAUAAUUGUUUUCACUGAUUGUUGUACAAAAGCCAACAUUUGGGGUUGCUAGAUAGCUCUUGCUUCUUAGUCUCAGUUCUCAAUGUUAAUGUCUUUUUCUGUGUCUCAGUCUUUCUUGAUAUAGCCCCAAAAACUGGGGCUUAAGCAUAACACAGAUAUCUCUUUUCCGGAUUUGUAGCUCCAUGAUAUAUACUUUCUCCUGAAUAGUCUUCUUCACUUUCGUGCUUUUGGUGUGUUUUUUUCUGUAAGUGUGUGUGGCUAUAAGUGUUAAGGCUUCAUAUUCCGGUUUUGGUUGAUUAAAGAAACGGCGAGUCUUGAAGCGUGAUCAUCAUUCAUCACUGCAAACAUUCUAGAAGCAGUGAUUGUGAUCUCGUGUUUGUAGUUCUUCCCCAAAAAAGUGAACGAUAAUUAUGGUUUCUGCGGCUUUGGCAUUGUUACCGACACUAUCAGUGAUCAAGCAGGCAACUAACGUUUUUGCAGGCAAUAUAUACAUGCAACAAGGUGAAGUUCGAGCAGGUGAAAGAUAAACUAUACCAACAUCGUUUAGUUCCAGUAUGUUGAGAUGGAACCUUGGAGUUGCUCUUUAAUUACUAAAGGAUAAGCCAACACACAUGGUAUGACUUAGCCCCUAGCUAGUUUUUUAGACAAAUAACUCAUUUAAUUCAACUAUUGCUCUACAUGUAUAUUACUUUUCUUUUUUUUUGUUCCGCUACAUGUAUAUUACUUCUGCAUGCAUAUAUGUUGAAUUUCCUUGUGUGGAUCUUUCCCCUAGAUCUGCUAAAUUGCUUUGCUGGUGUAAAGUUGUGUGUGGAAAUAU